rfam:Aphanomyces astaci strain APO3 cont1.1598, whole genome shotgun sequence.
GCGUCUGUAGUAUAGUGGUCAGUACUUCACGUUGUGGCCGUGACAUCCUGGGUUCGACUCCCGGCAGGCGCA